CCCUUUAUAAUCAGCCGCAGGAAAGGCAGAAGCCCUAAGCUUGCCCAAUUGGGCAGAGGGAUCCUCCUCCUGGCAUCACCGCUUACAGCUGCCAGGCCAGGCAGGGCUCCACCAUCCCCACCAAUACAGGCAGCUCAGCCUGCAAGGACAUCAUAAAAAGACAUUUCACGGCUUCUCAAAGAGGAUUGAGAUGAAAACACCACCACCCCUAGCUCGGAGGCUGCAGGGAAGCAGGGUUGGGAUAAAGGAUGUGACUCUUCCUCAAGGUGACAGUGCUCCUAAUUGUGUCACUCCAGCCGGCAGGCUGGAGGAUGCGACCCAGUUUUGGUGCCUGCUACGCGGCUCGCAGCGGUGCCGACACGCUGGAAAAGCUAAAUAUAGGAGCUCAGCAGUCGCAGUUGGCCACACCUGGGCAGGACUCACUCUGAGACGGCUGGAGAAUCGAUGCCAUCCACUCAUCGUGCGUUACAGCAUCACUGCAAAGCCUUCUCUGCCUGAGUGGGAAGCGUUACCAAGUCACUUGGAAUAAAAUUGCCACUAAAUGCUGUUUGGGGGAGAAGGAAAAAAAGGAAAAGGGGAAAAAAAAGGGGGGGGGGGUGGAAAAGGCAGCAAAUCCUCGCUCUUUCUCAAGCAUUGUAGGAAAUGAAAACGGCUAUUGCUGCCUGGCAGAGAGUCCAAUUAUGACUAAUGUGCGUUCUCUCCCUGCACAAAGGAUGAAAGGCAUCAGAGCUGGUGGUGACAUUUUCAGACCAGAGAUGUAAGAGCGAAUCCAAGCCUCGUCGCAAGCCCAGCUUUACCCCAAUAAAGAAACACUUUCUGCAGUCAAUUGCCUUGCAGCGUAGCUUGAAGCCCUGCUAUUGAUCUAGCAUCUGUUAUAAGCAAAUCACCAUCAUCCCUGUGCCGUGGCUUCUACAAUGGGAUCUAAAAGCACUUUCCAGAAGAUGGCUGGGGGCUGUUUUGCUGCUCUCAACCACUGUUGCAGGCAGGCAGAGGUUUGCAGGCGACUCCACAAAACUCCCAUAGAAUUUGAAGGCCAGAAAACACCGAUAAAUCACUUGGAAUCCUUCGUCUCCCAACCCUGUAAAGUUCAGCAAGUGAAGUGUGAUCCCUGCUAAGCUUCAGCUGCAGCUCCUGCCCUCACACAGCCAUUUCAUACCCUAAAAUCUCCUUUCCCCACUGAGGUGCCAACAGGCCACUACUCAGUUCUUGCCUUCUGCAAGAUAGACUAUGACAGCCACUAAAAUCCCCCAACUGUUGAAAUGCCCCAGCAUCAGGCAUUUUUCUCCUGUCCCCCAAAGGUUUCCUGGAGUUUGGCUCAUUGAGGUCUGUAUCCUGACAGCUCCUGGACUCCUGGCCACAUCUUGGCAGCACGAAGCAGUUUUGGGCCAGGCACCUUCCUACAAGUUUAGCAAGAAGUGGUCAGAGGGAGGUGAAAUCAGGCUGCCAGUGCCUGCAAAAUUCUCCCUCCCCGCUGCUACAAGCACUUUUUAUCCACUUGGCAGAUUCCUCCAGACUCCAAAGAAGGAGAAAAGGAUGGGAAAUUAAAAAUAAAUGAACCAAGAGAUACACAUCCAUCAGGAGCCAGGCGUUGUCAGCUCGGGUCCCUGUGCAACUACUUCUUUAAUCAAAACCUCAUGCAGUUUAAACACUUGACAGAAGCCUAGAACAGGGAUCUUGUUACCCUGAACAGGAAAAAGCUGCAACCUUGAAGGAUAAAAAUCACAUCUUGUCUGAUGGGGUCUAUUUUCUUUAAAAUCAGGCUAAAUUACACUAAGCCCCUUCCUAACCGUGACAGACUCCUGCAAGGGUGGCAGGAGGGGGUCAUCAGAGCAGACAGGAGGACCAAGCUCUUGGGUGGCAGCUAAAGAUGUGCCAUAUCUCAAUCAGCCUGUGACGCCAGCUGCAAAUUUUUAAGAGGCUGAAAUCAAGAAAAAGAUUGCUGAUGGAUGUGCUCCCCACUUGAAACUCACUUGCGUGGUGACCAACGUCAGACUACCUGGCUCACAGCUAUGCCACUUAGCUGUUCAGAAACCUUCCAGCUUUCUGGAAACUCCCUGAGUUCCAAGGCUCAGCCAGCUCUUUAAAUCCUCCUUCAUCAGGUUAUCUGCGCCUCCUGACUUGAAAACGUUUGUCCCCAAGGAGCUGCUAUUUAAUAUCUUCCUUAGCUACCCAAGGAUGGGAAGUUUCUCCCAUCACUCUGCAGCUUUCCAAACACAGAUGGGAUUUAUUGGAGUUUCUGCUGCUCUGACCUCAUUAACAUUUCAUGGCACAGCUCCAGCAAUGCACCUACUCCUCGCCAGGUGCCCAUCAACAGCCUCAUGGCAGCUCAGGUCUGGCUGCGUUGAACAUCCUUGGGGGAGUUUAAAGUGACAUCACCUCUAUAACAGUUCUAGAUCUGUGUUUUGGGGCCUUAUCUGCACUAUAUCUCAUAUAGGAUCAUGGCUCCCAGCAGCUCCUUUUGUAACAGCCACGGUGGGUGGGAAAAGAGACAACACAAGAAGGAGAGCAAGAAAUAAACAAGAGAAUAGUGCAGGAACACAUCCAAACUGUGCCAAGGACAAUGUAACCUGGGGGACCACCCAGGGAACAAGUGGGAUUUUAAUUGGCAUGGAGAGAGGGAAGCAGAAGAGGGAUUGCAAGCCCUUGGAUUGGUUGGGAAAUGCAGCAGACAACCCCAGGUGAGACAUUCAUGGUACCCCCUGGCACUUCCUGCAGGGAAGAGGGUGGGAACUGGAAAUUCUGAGGCUAUUUCUGGUGAGUUUUUCUCCCCUGCGGAGAACAGGAGGGAGCAUCAGCACAGCCUGGCUGGAGUCCUGCAAAUUGCCCCACUUAGGCUCUGUUCCUCUAAAUUGCUCUCUUAACCAAAGCACAUAAAUCGACCUGACAAGCAUCAGGGUUUUCUCCAGAGAGAUGCUCCUCUACAGCUUCUGGAGUUUAUGCUUCAACCCCAAACUCUGCAGCUUUUUGUCCCGAAGAGAUGUGCCUGCUGCUUACCAGGGUAAACACCUCACUAUGCUGGAGGCCUCAAGAUGUGUCUCUCCAUUGGCCAGGCACCACAUGGAGCCAGGGUUUCCCCACCACAUAUUUAUUCAGAGGCACUGUGCAGCGAGGACAACCCAGAGCCAAACUUUGCAAGAAGCAGACCUGGCCAGAGUUCAGCAGAAACAGAGAAUUAAGACACUGAAUUAAAUCAAUGCAUCCAAAUUUCCAUCCAAAUCAGGAAUUUCAUGCACAGGAGGGUUUUUGACCAGGGUCCUACAUUACUUGUUAAGCAGAGAGAGCAGAGAAUGGUUGGCACUGCACAGGAAUCUAAGUUUUGCACUAAAGCUCUUGCAAGCCCAUAGUAAUUCAGAUGCAGAAGCAAUCUCAGCUGCUGGGAAGGAACUCAAACUGCAAAAGACAAAGGAAGCCUGUGCAGGGAUGGAGAGAAGGAAAGAAGAGCUGCUGGCUAGGUGCAGGCAACGCUGAUCACACAGAAAUAAGGAUGGAGAGGAGAUAAAGGAACCAGGUCAGGGAAAAUCCAGGGAUGGCUGUGGCUAUGCCUGCUAAAACACACCCAAUAGCAGGCACUUGCUGAAGGCUGCAGGUCCCACAGCCCUCCUGCAAAAAAGCUUCCAGCAGUGUCCGGUAUGAGUCCUACACAAGGACUGGCAAAGCCUAAAAACCCCAGGGAUGUGCUCAGGGACUUGGCCAGAGCAAGAGCAUGGACAGAGGCACACGGACUGCAAGAGUCACCCGGCCCGUUACAGCCAGGGAAAACAUCUAGUGCCACGCUCACCUCCCUAGAGCUUUCCACCAACACACCAGCUCAGGUUGCUCACUACACACCCAUGCAGAGAUGCCUUCUGCUCCUGGGCACAGGCCCUGCACGUCUUGCUUGCAGUGCCACCUGCCGCCAACAGCUCUUCAGUCGCUGGAAAGGGACAACAGCAACGCAGAGCAAUGAACUUCCUGCUGUUACAUCAGCUCGCCCUGUCCUUUAGCAGCAGCCAAACUCUUGAUCCAAAAAGCAGUGCUAUUUCCCAAGCUGCAGGAAUCCCACGACUGGCAGGCGUAGCAGCAGACGCUAAUAAAGCACUUUUUUUCAUUUCCCUUUAAUGCAGUUUGUCACUGGAGCCGGUGUCUCUCUCUCUCCCCUCCUCCCUCCAGAGACCACAUCCCAAAUCUUCUUAUUCGUUGAUUCUUUAUGCUACGUGAUGACUCCACAGUCGAAAUAAUGUUCACAUUUCAGACACCGUGAGACUUUUUAAUAAGGAGUUGCAUGAAAAAUUAGGGAGGCUGCAACAAAGAGCUCCGACGGAGGUUUCCAAAGUAACUCACAGCCAGGAGAGCCUCACUUUUCCAAAGCCCAGCAUGAGACAAUCUCAAGAGCCCCCACGCUCAGAGGGAGCUGAGCCCUGCCCCUCUGGAAAAAUAAGGCCUUUUUAAGGAGGCUUCCCCAGGGUGAGAAUCCCUGCAGGGAGGUUUGGCGGGUGGUUCUGGGAAUCUUGGCUGAGACCACAUCCCGUUCCCAGGAGCGCUCACGAGAAGUUUCACCCCAGACCUUGGCUGUGCUGCAUGGUGAGACUCAGCUCAUGCUGCUGCCAGCCUGGGCUCCCAGCUUGUCACAUCAGCCCUGCAAUGCUCCAACAGUGAUUCUCCCUGUACUUGCAGGGAGGUAGCUAAAGGGCAGCAAAGACUCUCCCAGUCUUGGCUGCAGAAGUGCUAAGGUACCUGCAGAGACAGCGAGCA